GACAGAGGGUGCAAACGUUGCUCGGAAUUACUGGGCGUAAAGCGCGUGUAGGUGGAUUGGUGUGUCAGAUGUGAAAUCCCUGGGCUCAACCCAGGAACUGCACCUGAAACUACCAGUCUUGAGUGGUGGAGAGGGAAGUGGAAUUCCUGGUGUAGAGGUGAAAUUCGUAGAUAUCAGGAGGAACACCAAUGGCGAAGGCAGCUCGCUGGGACGUGACUGACGCUGAGACGCGAAAGCGUGGGGAGCAAACAGG
rnacentral:rRNA from 1 species